UUGAACGCUGGCGGCAGGCCUAACACAUGCAAGUCGAACGGUAACAGGAAGCAGCUUGCUGCUUCGCUGACGAGUGGCGGACGGGUGAGUAAUGUCUGGGAAACUGCCUGAUGGAGGGGGAUAACUACUGGAAACGGUAGCUAAUACCGCAUAACGUCGCAAGACCAAAGAGGGGGACCUUCGGGCCUCUUGCCAUCGGAUGUGCCCAGAUGGGAUUAGCUAGUAGGUGGGGUAACGGCUCACCUAGGCGACGAUCCCUAGCUGGUCUGAGAGGAUGACCAGCCACACUGGAACUGAGACACGGUCCAGACUCCUACGGGAGGCAGCAGUGGGGAAUAUUGCACAAUGGGCGCAAGCCUGAUGCAGCCAUGCCGCGUGUAUGAAGAAGGCCUUCGGGUUGUAAAGUACUUUCAGCGGGGAGGAAGGGAGUAAAGUUAAUACCUUUGCUCAUUGACGUUACCCGCAGAAGAAGCACCGGCUAACUCCGUGCCAGCAGCCGCGGUAAUACGGAGGGUGCAAGCGUUAAUCGGAAUUACUGGGCGUAAAGCGCACGCAGGCGGUUUGUUAAGUCAGAUGUGAAAUCCCCGGGCUCAACCUGGGAACUGCAUCUGAUACUGGCAAGCUUGAGUCUCGUAGAGGGGGGUAGAAUUCCAGGUGUAGCGGUGAAAUGCGUAGAGAUCUGGAGGAAUACCGGUGGCGAAGGCGGCCCCCUGGACGAAGACUGACGCUCAGGUGCGAAAGCGUGGGGAGCAAACAGGGUUAGAUACCCUGGUAGUCCACGCCGUAAACGAUGUCGACUUGGAGGUUGUGCCCUUGAGGCGUGGCUUCCGGAGCUAACGCGUUAAGUCGACCGCCUGGGGAGUACGGCCGCAAGGUUAAAACUCAAAUGAAUUGACGGGGGCCCGCACAAGCGGUGGAGCAUGUGGUUUAAUUCGAUGCAACGCGAAGAACCUUACCUGGUCUUGACAUCCACAGAACUUUCCAGAGAUGGAUUGGUGCCUUCGGGAACUGUGAGACAGGUGCUGCAUGGCUGUCGUCAGCUCGUGUUGUGAAAUGUUGGGUUAAGUCCCGCAACGAGCGCAACCCUUAUCCUUUGUUGCCAGCGGUCCGGCCGGGAACUCAAAGGAGACUGCCAGUGAUAAACUGGAGGAAGGUGGGGAUGACGUCAAGUCAUCAUGGCCCUUACGACCAGGGCUACACACGUGCUACAAUGGCGCAUACAAAGAGAAGCGACCUCGCGAGAGCAAGCGGACCUCAUAAAGUGCGUCGUAGUCCGGAUUGGAGUCUGCAACUCGACUCCAUGAAGUCGGAAUCGCUAGUAAUCGUGGAUCAGAAUGCCACGGUGAAUACGUUCCCGGGCCUUGUACACACCGCCCGUCACACCAUGGGAGUGGGUUGCAAAAGAAGUAGGUAGCUUAACCUUCGGGAGGGCGCUUACCACUUUGUGAUUCAUGACUGGGGUG
rnacentral:rRNA from 1 species